AUGUGGCUUAGUUGUAAAGUGCAUGCCUAGCAUGCAUGAAGCCCUGGGUUUGAUUCCUAGUUACCAUA
rnacentral:tRNA from 1 species